GUCUGUUUCUCAGUUGGUUAGAGCAUGGUGCUGAUAAUGCCAAGGUUGCAGGUUCGAUCCUCGUAUGGACA